rnacentral:rRNA from 1 species
UGAGGAAUAUUGGUCAAUGGGCGCAAGCCUGAACCAGCCAUGCCGCGUGCAGGAUGAAGCAUCUAUGGUGUGUAAACUGCUUUUGUACGGGAAGAAACCACCCCUCGUGAGGGGUAUUGACGGUACCGUAAGAAUAAGGAUCGGCUAACUCCGUGCCAGCAGCCGCGGUAAUACGGAGGAUCCAAGCGUUAUCCGGAAUCAUUGGGUUUAAAGGGUGCGUAGGCGGCUUUUUAAGUCAGUGGUGAAAUCUUGCCGCUUAACGGUAAAAUUGCCAUUGAUACUGAUAAGCUUGAGUACAAUUGAGGUAAGCGGAAUGUGUAGUGUAGCGGUGAAAUGCUUAGAUAUUACACAGAAUACCAAUUGCGAAGGCAGGUUACUACUAAUGGAUUGACGCUGAUGGACGAAAGCGUGGGGAGCGAACA